CUUAAAGAUAUUGAGAAAUACAUGUUUUCAUAUUUAUUAGCUAUAUAUCUAUAAUUAUUUUUUAACAUUAAUCAAGAAAAGUUUUUGACUGCGUAAAUUGUGUGACAAGGUUAUCAUAAUUAUUGUUUUCUAUUUGUUUUUUUUUAUAAUUUUCUACAUAAAAUAUUUCAGAUUCUAUAAAUGCCUUAUACAUGCAUAGAUAUAAUUACGUUGAUUUGACUAAAUCGGUCAGCGCAAUAGGAAGGCGUUUUUUCGUGCUAAGCGACUUUAUGAGCUGAAACUAAUCAUAUACGUAAUAGUCCUUUUCAAUCUAUUUAAGAAUAAAGUUGCUCUGUGCGAAAAUUUUUGUUAGUGUCAAAUGGGCUAAUGACGUUCUGUCAUUUUGCUCAGAUGUAGUAACUAGCUAAAAUUCGAAAUAUAAUUUUCUACGAUAUUUUGCUUCAAAGCCUAUGCGAGUUUUCAGACUUAGCCUAACUAGGAUUGCCGAAAUUACCGCGAGACUGUAGUUUAACUCAUGUAAACUAUAUUCUUCGAUCAUUUCAUUGAAAGAAAGAAAUGUCUACAAAACCUCGGCCUUAUGUAUGUUGGACUAGACUUUUGAAGAACGGCUUUGAAAAAAAUGAGAGAAAUUACGCAGUUAACAGAAUCUUUAGUCACUAUUCAAUGUCUAAUGACGAAAGAGUCAGCAUGGUUGAUGUGCAGUGGUGCCAACAAAUCGAUAAUUUGAGGGAGGGCGGGUAUUCAUGCAUUCGUGUUUUGCCUAAUUAACUUCUUUUUUGAAAUCGAUUGCAUGCACAGUAUCACGCGAACACGAAUAUAUGAAUAUUUGCCUCCUAAUGAUCGAUCUACCGGCACCACUGUAUUGAUGAAGCACUCAAUGUUCACCCAACACUAUCCAACUAACUCUAUUCAGGGCUUCACAGAAACCGGGAAAUUCUGUCCACAAAAACUAACAGAGAAGCUUGAAAUCAAACCGUUUGUGAACAGCCGAGGAUUGAAUGUCUCUCUAAUGAACAGGUUGUAUUGGAUAAACAUGCCCGAACCACCCAUUCAUUGAUAACUUGGCAAUUCACAACAACUCGAAUUAGCCUUUUUCGUGCCGCCAUUUUUGUUGUACUGCCUUUUCUAAUUUCUUCAUCGAUUGUUAUAAAAAAUAAUCAUUAUAAAUUACCUCAUGUUCAAUAUUUUAGAAAUUGUUUUCACAUCUCUUAGACUUUUCAUGUCAUUCACAACAAAAGUACAACAAAAAUGGCGAAUUUGGCCUUCGAUCGUGAAAAAGGCUAAAAACUACAAAGAUUCACUCGAUCACUAUUCACUAUUGUUCGGUAAACUCUUGCGCCGAGUGGCAAUUACUGUAAUUGACUAACAUAAUGCUCAUCAUGUUCGAUUUCCAUUCGCGUCUCGGAAUACACCUUCUUUUAAACCAAAAGUAUAGGCUAGUUUUCCAUGAAUUGGGACAAUUGAGUUGCCGGCGUUCUGUAUUUGAACGAACCAGGAAUGAGUCAAUUUUUUUGCUCUUGGAUGAUUGACACGGUUCCUCUUUGUACGCAGAAGGUACAGAAAUACCGAGGUAUCAGCGAAGAAUGUUUACCAUUAAUUAGGACAAAGUUUCAGUAAUCGGGGUACUUCUAUGACUUGGUAGAUAUGGAUCUGAAACUUAUGGAAUAUUUUCCCAAAAAUAUUUCCUGUUGAUAUCUCGUUGAAUGAAGUGGUAUUGCUCAAUUAGUUGAAAGCAUGCUAGCUAUCCGGUUGUAAUUUCUUGAUGAUAUUGGAUAAUCCUGGUUUUUAAAUGUUGGAAAGAAUAUCCAAGAAAGUACUUCGGAAAUGUUGUUGAAUAUCUGUUUAAGUACACUGCACCUCUCAUCUCCAGAACAAAUUUUCGGACCGACGGUAUCCACAUACGUGAUACAACCACAUUUUGUGGUGACACAUUUCUCGAUUCAUCAAUUUGCGGAAUUAAUUUAAUAGUUAAAGUACCGUAAAACUCCAGGAUCUCUGCUUUCAAACAGUGUGAGAAUGGCUUAAUUAAUUUCUUCCCAUACCGCAUGUUCCAUAUCGUAUUAUUAAUCACACUUUUAAGUUCCAUUUCCAAUAUUUCGUUUUUAAACUAUCAUAUUAAAGGGUAACAAUCGUCAGUGAUAAAGUUGAAAGAAG
rnacentral:lncRNA from 1 species